GACGAACGCUGGCGGCGUGCUUAACACAUGCAAGUCGAACGGUGAAGCGCCUUCCUUUUGGUGGGUGUGGAUGAGUGGCGAACGGGUGAGUAACACGUGAGUAACCUGCCCCCUUCUUCUGGAUAACCGCAUGAAAGUGUGGCUAAUACGGGAUAUUCUGGGUCUGUCGCAUGAUGGGUCUGGGCAAGAUAUUGUUUCGGGGGGGGAUGGGCUCGCGGCCUAUUAGCUUGGUGGUGGGGUGCUGGCCUACCAAGGCGGUGACGGUUAGCCGGCCUGAGAGGGUGGCCGGCCACAGUGGGAGAGCGACACGGUCGGGACUGCGACAGGAGGCAGAAGUGUGGAAUAUGGAACAGUGGGGGCAAGUGUGAAGCGGCGACGCCGCGGGAGCGAUGGCGGCCUUCGGGUUGUGAACGUCUUUCGGUAGUGAAGCAGGCCUGCCUCGUUUGUGGGUGGGUUGACGGUAGCUGGAUAAGAAGCACCGGCUAACUACGUG
rnacentral:rRNA from 1 species